rnacentral:rRNA from 1 species
AGAGCGAACGCUGGCGGCAGGCCUAACACAUGCAAGUCGAGCGCCCGUAGCAAUACGGGAGCGGCAGACGGGAUAGUAACACGUGGGAACGCGCCCUUCGGUUCGGAAUAACUCAGGGAAACUUGUGCUAAUACCGGAUAAGCCCUUACGGGGAAAGAUUUAUUGCCAAAGGAUCGGCCCGCGUCUGAUUAGCUUGUUGGUGAGGUAACGGCUCACCAAGGCUACGAUCAGUAGCUGGUCUGAGAGGAUGAUCAGCCUCACUGGGACUGAGACACGGCCCAGACUCCUACGGGAGGCAGCAGUGGGGAAUAUUGGACAAUGGGCGCAAGCCUGAUCCAGCCAUGCCGCGUGGAUGAUGAAGGCCCUAGGGUUGUAAAGUCCUUUCGACGGGGAAGAUAAUGACGGUACCCGUAGAAGAGCCCCGGCUAACUUCGUGCCAGCAGCCGC